GCUGAGUGUGGUGGUGCAUGCCUGUAAUCCCAGAGGCUGGGGAGGCUGAGGCAGGAGGAUCAUGAGUUCAAAGCCAGCUUCAGUAACUUAGAGAGGCCCUAAGUGACUCAGCGAGACCCUGUCUCAA
rnacentral:sRNA from 1 species